UCAAACUUGGUCAUUUAGAGGAAGUAAAAGUCGUAACAAGGUCUCCGUAGGUGAACCUGCGGAGGGAUCAUUACCGAGUGAGGGCCCCGCGCCCGACCUCCAACCCUCUGAAGUUACCAACUCUGUUGCCUUGGGGGCGACCUGGCCGCCGCGUCGGGGCCCCCAGAGGACCACAUCCAUUACUCUGCGUCGAUGCGUCGGAGUUUGAGGGGAAAUUCUUAAUCAAAACUUUCAACAACGGAUCUCUUGGUUCUGGCAUCGAUGAAGAACGCAGC
rnacentral:misc_RNA from 1 species